rnacentral:rRNA from 1 species
GCCCCGGUAAACGGCGGCCGUAACUAUAACGGUCCUAAGGUAGCGAAAUUCCUUGUCGGGUAAGUUCCGACCUGCACGAAUGGCGUAAUGAUGGCCAGGCUGUCUCCACCCGAGACUCAGUGAAAUUGAACUCGCUGUGAAGAUGCAGUGUACCCGCGGCAAGACGGAAAGACCCCGUGAACCUUUACUAUAGCUUGACACUGAACAUUGAGCCUUGAUGUGUAGGAUAGGUGGGAGGCUUUGAAGUGUGGACGCCAGUCUGCAUGGAGCCGACCUUGAAAUACCACCCUUUAAUGUUUGAUGUUCUAACGUUGGCCCGUAAUCCGGGUUGCGGACAGUGUCUGGUGGGUAGUUUGACUGGGGCGGUCUCCUCCUAAAGAGUAACGGAGGAGCACGAAGGUUGGCUAAUCCUGGUCGGACAUCAGGAGGUUAGUGCAAUGGCAUAAGCCAGCUUGACUGCGAGCGUGACGGCGCGAGCAGGUGCGAAAGCAGGUCAUAGUGAUCCGGUGGUUCUGAAUGGAAGGGCCAUCGCUCAACGGAUAAAAGGUACUCCGGGGAUAACAGGCUGAUACCGCCCAAGAGUUCAUAUCGACGGCGGUGUUUGGCACCUCGAUGUCGGCUCAUCACAUCCUGGGGCUGAAGUAGGUCCCAAGGGUAUGGCUGUUCGCCAUUUAAAGUGGUACGCGAGCUGGGUUUAGAACGUCGUGAGACAGUUCGGUCCCUAUCUGCCGUGGGCGCUGGAGAACUGAGGGGGGCUGCUCCUAGUACGAGAGGACCGGAGUGGACGCAUCACUGGUGUUCGGGUUGUCAUGCCAAUGGCACUGCCCGGUAGCUAAAUGCGGAAGAGAUAAGUGCUGAAAGCAUCUAAGCACGAAACUUGCCCCGAGAUGAGUUCUCCCUGACUCCUUGAGGGUCCUGAAGGAACGUUGA